rnacentral:rRNA from 1 species
UACGAAGGGGGCUAGCGUUGCUCGGAAUCACUGGGCGUAAAGCGCACGUAGGCGGCUUUCUAAGUCAGGGGUGAAAUCCUGGAGCUCAACUCCAGAACUGCCUUUGAUACUGGAGAGCUAGAGUCCGGAAGAGGUGAGUGGAACUGCGAGUGUAGAGGUGAAAUUCGUAGAUAUUCGCAAGAACACCAGUGGCGAAGGCGGCUCACUGGUCCGGUACUGACGCUGAUGCGCGAAAGCGUGGGGAGCAACGGG